UACAAAUGAUGAUAAAAUCAAGGCUUGUUUCUCAAAACAUUCAUAGUUGCGAACUUAGAGCUUUCGCUCAGCCAGGUGAGCGAGUGCUGUUAGAUCCUUCCUUGAAUGUCUCAUGCA
rfam:Hordeum vulgare subsp. vulgare, WGS project CAJW01000000 data, contig: morex_contig_1754325